rnacentral:misc_RNA from 1 species
AACGCACCUUGCGCUCCUUGGUAUUCCGAGGAGCAUGCCUGUUUGAGUGUCUUGAAGUCAUCAACCCCUCCCGUUUUGCGCGGAGAGGACGGUUGGAUCUGGGGGCCUGCUGCCGUCAGGCGGCUCCCCUCAAAUGCGUCGGUUGGGCCUGUGGGUCGAACUCGGUUUGGGCGUUGUACCAUCCUCGCUCUGGUCUGAGAUGUUCCCCUUCUGUUGAGCCCUUCCACAGACCACCCCAUCUGGAGUUGGUGGUCAAGCUGAACUUUGAAAUCUGACCUCAAAUCAGGUAGGACUACCCGCUGAACUUAA